UUGAACUUGAGUUUGUGGUGUUUUUUAACUUGAGUUUGUUUUGUGUUUGAACUUGAGUUCGUGUCGUGUUUGAACUUGAGUUUGUGGUGUUUUUGAACUUGAGGUUGUUGAAAUUGUUAAACUUGAGAAUUGGGUAUUGGUUGAACUUGAGUUUGUGAUUUUGUUGAACUUGAGUUUGUGUCGUGUUUUAACUUGAGUUUGUGAUGUUUUUGAAUUUGAGUUUGUGUGUUGGUUGAACUUGAGUUUGUGUUGUGUUUGACCUUGGGUUUGUGGUGUUUUUGAACUUAAGUUUGUUUCGUGUUUGAACUUGAGUUCUUGUCAUGUUUGAACUUGAGUUUGUGGUGUUUUUGAACUUGAGUUUGUGGUGUGUUUGAACUUGAGUUUGUGUGUUUUGUUGAACUUAAGGUUGUUGCAAUUUUUAAACUUGAGAUUUGGGAAUUUGUUAAACUUGAGUUAUUGUGUUUGUUGAACUUGAGUUCGUGUCGUUUGAACUUGAGUUUGUGGUGUUUUUGAACUUGAGUUUGUGUGUUUGUUGAACUUGAGUUUGUGUUGUGUUUGAACUUGAGUUUGUGUUGUUUUUGAGCUUGAGUGUGUGGUGUUUUUGAACUUGAGUUUAUGAUAUUUUUGAACUUGAGGUUGUGGAAAUUGUUUAACUUGAGAAUUGAGUAUUGUUUGAACUUGAGUUUUUUUGUUUUUGAACUUGAGUUUGUGUC